AAACAGAACUAAAUUGUAAUACAUAACUCACUAGCCUUUUAUUUUCUUUACAAAAUGCAUGAAAUUUAUCUAUAAUAAAUUAAGAGUAGUUAAGGAAAAAUAAUAUCUUUCAAAUAUAGCACGAAAAUGACGAACAAAACAUUGGCAUAAAAUGAAACUUUAACAACCACCAAAAAUAAUAUCUCAAUAUAAUAAUAAUUACAUCAGAUCUCAAC
rnacentral:lncRNA from 1 species